UGCUCGCUUGCCCACCUACACUACCUAU
rnacentral:piRNA from 1 species